GCUUGCACAAGGGCAGCGCUUGCACCAGGCUGGGGCUUGCACGAGGGCAGAGCUUGCACAAGGGCAGUGUUUGCACGACUUCGGGGCUUGCACAAGAGCGAUGUUUGCACGAGGACUUGGCUUGCACCAGGCUGGGGUUUGCAUGAGGGCCGUGCUCGCACGAGGGGCUCCCCGUGCCAGCCGUCGCCGUGCCCGCAGCUGAGCUUCCAGCGCAAGGUGGGGGUCCUGUACUGCCGGGGGGGGCAGGGGUCGGAGGAGGAGAUGUACAACAACGA
rnacentral:lncRNA from 1 species